GUGAGAAGGAAGAGUCAGGGCUUAGAGGAGCUGCUUAGACAAGACAUCAAGGAGAUGAAACGUUGUCUUCCCUCUGAGGAUUGCCAUUUGCAGAGAAUCAUUCUUCUCAGUGCAUUUCUCUUCUAUUUCCUCAAGUACCACACUGACCUGCCAUGUUGGACCUAGACCACAGCCUCACAUCAGAAAGAUAAAUUAAUGGAUUGAAAAGGCUCCUGGAAAGACUCCUGGCUUAGCUCCUAAAUCAUCUGUACAGAAACAAGAGGACUGAAUUCGGGCAGAAAUUGCUGCAAAGAAUAAAUGCUAGACUGAUGUUUUCAAAAGAAUAAAUGCUGUUUUCAACACACAUUUUUGACGUUGUUCCAGUGGCCAUUUCCUCCCCUUCCUCACCAGUUGUGCCAAAGCCGUGUGAGGAGCAGCAGAAGACAGCUCAGCCUGUUUCUUCUCAUCUGAUAGUUCAGAGAAUUGUGACAUGUGACACAAUGGGAUACAGAUUUCAAUACUGUUUGGAUCUGCACCAAGAUCUCUAGGAACCGUGGCAUAUUACUCUGAAUUGGUCAUGGCUGCUUGGAAUUCCUGAGUCUCACAAAGCUAUCCUACCUUAACAGCAAGUACUUCUCUUGUGUAGGCUGUCCCAGGAAGAUGUGAUGCUUUCCACUCAUUGACACCAAGUAAUUCAGGUUUCCCUGGGUCUCACUGAAGGAUUCCCAGGAGCAGACCUACGUGAUUGUGAGUGUGCAGAUACAUGUGUAAGAAACAUUUCUCCCAACAAAGACUGGUUUUUUAUUUGUGACUUAACCAAAGACUCACCAGCAAUGAGCAGAUUUACGUAAAGGCAAACAUUUCCCCCUCCACUCAGAUUUUCCACAUCUACACAGCAGUUAUCUUUUUAGUGAAGAUGUGUUAUUUUCCUCAUGAAGUCUCAAAGCAAGUGCUUUGUAUAAGAAAAGGUAAGGAAAUUUAUACUGCAGACUGCUUGCUGGUUUACUUUUCUUCUUUGUGGGAAAAGGAUGGAAUUGGUGUUACCUAAAGCCAACUUAAUCCAUUAAAACAUUUCCAUCAAGCACAGACUCCAUGCUAAAUAAAUUAUAAGUAAGUAAAACUAGAAAUCAUAAAGAGUUGGGAGUUUUCCUUGUGCACUGAUCUUUGUUCAUGACUUGUAUUUAAUCUCACUGUGAAUGCUCCAAAUAUGAAGAACUGCCUUUCCAAACAGGAAGCAGGACUGGAAACCUCUGCCAUUGGUGAAGGAAAUUUCUAGCAGCUCUGCUUCCUCUUGAAAAUGAAGCAGAAUAAGUGAGGGGGAAAGUGAUGAUAGUCCUUAUCCAGGGGGCAUU